GGGCUAAUACCGAAUAUGACCUUGCACCGCAUGGUGUUUGGUGGAAAGUUUUUCGGCUUGGGAUGGGCUCGCGGCCUAUCAGCUUGUUGGUGGGGUGAUGGCCUACCAAGGCGACGACGGGUAGCCGGCCUGAGAGGGCGACCGGCCACACUGGGACUGAGACACGGCCCAGACUCCUACGGGAGGCAGCAGUGGGGAAUAUUGCACAAUGGGCGGAAGCCUGAUGCAGCGACGCCGCGUGAGGGAUGACGGCCUUCGGGUUGUAAACCUCUUUCAGCAGGGACGAAGCGUAAGUGACGGUACCUGCAGAAGAAGCGCCGGCCAACUACGUGCCAGCAGCCGCGGUAAGACGUAGGGCGCGAGCGUUGUCCGGAUUUAUUGGGCGUAAAGAGCUCGUAGGCGGCUUGUCGC
rnacentral:rRNA from 1 species